ensembl:snRNA U5 U5 spliceosomal RNA
AGCUCGUGUUUCUCUUUAUUCACGCACAAAUCUUUCACCUUUUGCUAAAGAUUUCCGUGGAGGGGAAUGUUGACGAGUUCUUUUGGGGCA